rnacentral:rRNA from 1 species
CCUACGGGUGGCAGCAGUCGAGAAUCAUUCACAAUGGGGGAAACCCUGAUGGUGCGACGCCGCGUGGGGGAAUGAAGGUCUUCGGAUUGUAAACCCCUGUCAUGUGGGAGCAAAUUAAAAAGAUAGUACCACAAGAGGAAGAGACGGUCAACUCUGUGCCAGCAGCCGCGGUAAUACAUAGGUCUCAAGCGUUGUUCGGAAUCACUGGGCGUAAAGCGUGCGUAGGCUGUUUCGUAAGUCGUGGGUGAAAGGCGCGGGCUCAACCCGCGGACGGCACAUGAUACUGCGAGACUAGAGUGAUGGAGGGGGAACCGGAAUUCUCGGUGUAGCAGUGAAAUGCGUAGAUAUCGGGAGGAACACUCGUGGCGAAGGCGGGUUCCUGGACAUUAACUGACGCUGAGGCACGAAGGCCAGGGGAGCGAAAGGGAUUAGAUACCCUAGUAGUC